CCUACGGAGGGCAGCAGUGAGGAAUAUUGGUCAAUGGGCGGAAGCCUGAACCAGCCAAGUAGCGUGCAGGAUGACGGCCCUACGGGUUGUAAACUGCUUUUAUACGGGAAUAACGCGCCUUACGUGUAGGGCUUUGCAUGUACCGUAUGAAUAAGGACCGGCUAAUUCCGUGCCAGCAGCCGCGGUAAUACGGAAGGUCCGGGCGUUAUCCGGAUUUAUUGGGUUUAAAGGGAGCGUAGGCCGCAUGUCAAGCGUGCUGUGAAAUGUCCGGGCUCAACCCGGGCCUUGCAGCGCGAACUGGCGUGCUUGAGUCCGCGGAAAGCAGGCGGAAUUCGUCGUGUAGCGGUGAAAUGCUUAGAUAUGACGAAGAACCCCGAUUGCGAAGGCAGCUUGCUGCAGCGGAACUGACGCUGAUGCUCGAAAGCGCGGGUAUCGAACAGGAUUACAUACCCUAGUAGUC
rnacentral:rRNA from 1 species